rnacentral:rRNA from 1 species
UACGAAGGGUGCAAGCGUUACUCGGAAUUACUGGGCGUAAAGCGUGCGUAGGCGGUUCGUUAAGUCCGUUGUGAAAGCCCUGGGCUCAACCUGGGAAUGGCAGUGGAUACUGGCGAGCUAGAGUGUGAUAGAGGAUGGUGGAAUUCCCGGUGUAGCGGUGAAAUGCGUAGAGAUCGGGAGGAACACCAGUGGCGAAGGCGGCCAUCUGGAUCAACACUGACGCUGAGGCACGAAAGCGUGGGAGCAAACAGG